rnacentral:rRNA from 1 species
CCCUCGGGGUCCAACCUCCCACCCGUGUUUAACGAACCUUUGUUGCUUCGGCGGGCCCGCCUCACGGCCGCCGGGGGGCUCCUGCCCCCGGGCCCGCGCCCGCCGAAGCCCCCCCCCUUGAACGCUGUCUGAAGUUUGCAGUCUGAGAAACUAACUAAAUUAGUUAAAACUUUCAACAACGGAUCUCUUGGUUCCGGCAUCGAUGAAGAACGCAGCGAAAUGGGAUAACUAAUGGGAAUUGCAGAAUUCAGUGAAUCAUCGAGUCUUUGAACGCACAUUGCGCCCUCUGGUAUUCCGGAGGGCAUGCCUGUCCGAGCGUCAUUGCUGCCCUCAAGCACGGGUUGGGGGUUGGGCCCCCGUCCCCCCCUCUGCCGGGGGGACGGGCCCGAAAGGGAGCGGCGGCACCGCGUCCGGUCCUCGAGCGUAUGGGGCUUCGUCACCCGCUCUUGUAGGGCCGGCCGGCGCCAGCCGACCCCAACCCUAAAUUUUUUUCAGGUUGACCUCGGAUCAGGUAGGGAUACCCGCUGAACUUAAGCAUAUCAAUAAGCGGAGGAAAAGAAACCAACCGGGAUUGCCCUAGUAACGGCGAGUGAAGCGGCAAGAGCUCAAAUUUGAAAGCUGGCUCCUUCGGGGUCCGCAUUGUAAUUUGCAGAGGAUGCUUCGGGAGCGGUCCCCAUCUAAGUGCCCUGGAACGGGCCGUCAUAGAGGGUGAGAAUCCCGUCUGGGAUGGGGUGCCCGCGCCCGUGUGAAGCUCCUUCGACGAGUCGAGUUGUUUGGGAAUGCAGCUCUAAUUGGGUGGUAAAUUUCAUCUAAAGCUAAAUAUUGGCC